rnacentral:misc_RNA from 1 species
GUUCGAGCGUCAUUAUAACCACUCAAGCCUCGGCUUGGUCUUGGGGUUCGCGGUUCCGCGGCCCUUAAAAUCAGUGGCGGUGCGUCUGGCUCUAAGCGUAGUAAUUCUCUCGCUAUACGGGUCCCGGCGGUUACCAUCGUCAAAACCCCUCAUUUUUUACGGUUGACCUCGGAUCAGGUAGGGAUACCCGCUGAACUUAA